rnacentral:rRNA from 1 species
CUGAACCAGCCAAGUCGCGUGAGGGAUGAAGGUUCUAUGGAUCGUAAACCUCUUUUAUAAGGGAAUAAAGUGCGGGACGUGUCCCGUUUUGUAUGUACCUUAUGAAUAAGGAUCGGCUAACUCCGUGCCAGCAGCCGCGGUAAUACGGAGGAUCCGAGCGUUAUCCGGAUUUAUUGGGUUUAAAGGGUGCGUAGGCGGCCUUUUAAGUCAGCGGUGAAAGUCUGUGGCUCAACCAUAGAAUUGCCGUUGAAACUGGGGGGCUUGAGUAUGUUUGAGGCAGGCGGAAUGCGGGGGGUAGCGGUGAAAUGCAUAGAUAUCACGCAGAACCCCGAUUGCGAAGGCAGCCUGCCAAGCCAUGACUGACGCUGAUGCACGAAAGCGUGGGGAUCAAACAGGAUUAGAUACCCUGGUAGUCCACGCAGUAAACGAUGAUCACUAGCUGUUUGCGAUACACUGUAAGCGGCACAGCGAAAGCGUUAAGUGAUCCACCUGGGGAGUACGCCGGCAACGGUGAAACUCAAAGGAAUUGACGGGGGCCCGCACAAGCGGAGGAACAUGUGGUUUAAUUCGAUGAUACGCGAGGAACCUUACCCGGGUUUGAACGCAUUCGGACCGAGGUGGAAACACCUUUUCUAGCAAUAGCCGUUUGCGAGGUGCUGCAUGGUUGUCGUCAGCUCGUGCCGUGAGGUGUCGGCUUAAGUGCCAUAACGAGCGCAACCCUUGCCACUAGUUACUAACAGGUAAAGCUGAGGACUCUGGUGGGACUGCCAGCGUAAGCUGCGAGGAAGGCGGGGAUGACGUCAAAUCAGCACGGCCCUUACAUCCGGGGCGACACACGUGUUACAAUGGCGUGGACAAAGGGAAGCCACCUGGCGACAGGGAGCGAAUCCCCAAACCACGUCUCAGUUCGGAUCGGAGUCUGCAACCCGACUCCGUGAAGCUGGAUUCGCUAGUAAUCGCGCAUCAGCCAUGGCGCGGUGAAUACGUUCCCGGGCCUUGUACACACCGCCCGUCAAGCCAUGGGAGCCGGGGGUACCUGAAGUCCGUAACCGCGAGGAUCGGCCUAGGGUAAAACUGGUGACUGGGGCUAAGUCGUAACAAGGUAGCCGUACCGGAAGGUGCGGCUGGAACACCUCCUUUCU